AUUCCAGCUCCAAUAGCGUAUAUUAAAGUUGUUGCAGUUAAAACGCUCGUAGUCGGAUUUCGGGGCGGCUUCGUCGGUCUGCCGAUGGGUAUGCACUGACGCGGGCGUCCUUCCUUCCGGAGACGCGUCCUACUCUUAGCUGAGCGGGGCGUGGAGACGGAUCGUUUACUUUGAAAAAAUCAGAGUGUUUCAAGCAGGCAUCAUCGCUCUUGCAUGGAUUAGCAUGGGAUAAUGAAAUAGGACCUUGGCGCUAUUUUGUUGGUUUCGAGCACCGAAGUAAUGAUUAAUAGGGAUAGUUGGGGGCGUUUAUAUUCCGUUGUCAGAGGUGAAAUUCUUGGAUUUACGGAAGAUAAACUACUGCGAAAGCAUUCGCCAAGGAUGUUUUCAUUA
rnacentral:rRNA from 1 species